AUAAGUUGUUGACUUACAAGAUGUUCGUAUAAACUCCGUAUUUGUUUCUCCAGCUGAUGGCCUUGCGGCGGAAACUGAAUUCCAAUUAUUAGAAGAAGUUAUCAACGCAAUUGAAAUAAGAAAAUAUGUGAGAAAAUAACCACCUUCCAUCUCUCUUAAAUUAAUUACUCUAACUUUUUUUCUUUUUUUGUGUGUGUAUCAAUAACUAAAGAUAAUUAAUUGAAUGAUGAUGAAUUUAGGGAUGGAGGAUUCUGAAUUUAUAGAAAAAAUUUGUGGAAUGUACAGUACUGCUAAUUUAAAAAACGGUUA
rnacentral:lncRNA from 1 species